UACGGGGGGGGGGCAAGCGUUGUUCGGAAUUACUGGGCGUAAAGGGUGCGUAGGCGGCUCGCUAAGUUAGAUGUGAAAACUCUGGGCUCAACCCAGAGCCUGCAUCUAAAACUGGCGGGCUAGAGUUCUGGAGGGGGUAGCGGAAUUCCUGGUGUAGCGGUGAAAUGCGUAGAUAUCAGGAGGAACACCGGUGGCGAAGGCGGCUACCUGGACAGAAACUGACGCUGAGGCACGAAAGCUAGGGGGAGCAAACAGG
rnacentral:rRNA from 1 species